rnacentral:lncRNA from 1 species
GGACCGUUAAGGCUGCGUACUUUAAGGCUGCAGACCCUGAAUUGGGAUACAGCCAUACAUACAUGUUUUGGUUCGUGCAACUGGUCCGUCCGGUUAUUGUCUCCCCAGAAACAUUUCCGUUGUAUUUUUUCCUAUUUCCGUUGUGCUUUGUGUGCUUUUGCAGCGUUUUUCUUUUUGCAGCGUUUUUCUUUUUGCAGCAUUUUUCUUUUUGCAGCAUUUUUCUUUUUGCAAGUGUUUUUCUUUUUGCAGCAUUUUUCUUUUUGCAGCAUUUUUCUUUUUGCAAGUGUUUUUCUUUUUGCAGCAUUUUUCUUUUUGCAGCAUUUUUCUUUUUGCAAGUGUUUUUCUUUUUGCAGCAUUUUUCUUUUUGCAGCGUUUUUCUUUUUGCAGCAUUUUUCUUUUUGCAAGUGUUUUUCUUUUUGCAGCAUUUUUCUUUUUGCAGCAUUUUUCUUUUUGCAAGUGUUUUCUGAAGUUACAGUCCGUUUGGCCUCUCAGGGCCACCGUAAAAAUGACUUGAUAACACAAUCACACAAUCACUAUAAAAAAGUCUUUAACAUUUUUGUGCAUUUAUGCAGCAGAAUCAAGUCUCACGACAGCCAGUGCUUCCACUUCUACCAGUACUGUGGACUCACCAUCAGAAGAAGUCUCAAGAAAGAUAAACACAAAAUCAUCAUUUACCUUGACCACAGCAGAAUCGAGUCUCAGCAGUUUCAGUGCUUCCACUUCUACCACUUCUGUCAUCUCACCAUCAGGAACGGGGACACUGACUGUUGUGUUGGUCGUCGUUGGUUCUGGUGUAACUGUGGGUGCCAUCUUAUUGGUACUGGCACUUUUCAGAUCUAA